AAUGACAAUUAAUCGCAAUUGGA
rnacentral:miRNA from 1 species